CGCCAUUAGUGUGGUCUUUUCUCCGCCUGUACUGAAGUGUUGUUAUUGCUGAGUAGUAAUAAAUUAAAGCUGUUGAACGUUCCUCGAUAUAAUGUUUAAUAGCGGAACUUUAGUUUUGUACACUCUACGGCCGCCUUGACCCAAUGGACGUGGAUUGUGGGUGUUUGUGUAUUAAUGCAUCCUGGAGAAGAAAAUCCGGCUUGAACACCAGCCACAGGAGGUAACAGACCACGGGAUACGAUCGGACCUGAUCGGCAUCAGAUUCAUCCGAGUGCAGAUGGACACUGAAGAUUCACCUUGAUGGAAAGGGAAAUGUAAAGGGUUCUGGGAGGAAGAAUGAUUACAUGAUUUAUUAUUUCCUUGUAAUGUAUGAACACUGUGUAUAAAUAAAGAUAUCAAAGUUG